rnacentral:rRNA from 1 species
UACGGAGGGGGUUAGCGUUGUUCGGAAUUACUGGGCGUAAAGCGCGCGUAGGCGGAUUAGAAAGUUGGGGGUGGAAUCCCGGGGCUCAACCCCGGAACUGCCUCCAAAACUACUAGUCUAGAGUUCGAGAGAGGUGAGUGGAAUUCCGAGUGUAGAGGUGAAAUUCGUAGAUAUUCGGAGGAACACCAGUGGCGAAGGCGGCUCACUGGCUCGAUACUGACGCUGAGGUGCGAAAGUGUGGGGAGCAAACAGG